AACACAGAGAGGUGUGGUUAGAGAGAAACAGAGACAGAGAGGAAGUACAAGGAGAAAAGUGGAGACCUGGUCCAGGUAUGUGGACGGGGCGAGAUGGGCCAGGGGAGAGGGGAUGUGGGAAGUGGCUCUGAGUGUUGGGGCAGAAAGGGCUGGUAUCAUGGGCGUCAUAGUCUCAUGACUCUAAGACUCCAAUGUCCCUGGGGCCAAGCUCUGCAGAGGCCAUUGCAAUUGAAAAGAUGGGCAUCCGUCACUUCUCCUGGAAUUGCGGGGCUCAGCGUUAUGUUCUGUCAUGGAGAAGGAUGUCUUCAGGGAGAGUGUGCUGCUCUUUGGCAGGUCCGGCAGUCUGGACCUGGCAGAGUUGAACUGCUGAUAGUGAUAAAAAGGAUUUGACAAGAAGGUCCAUAUUCUCCCUCUGGAACGAGCGGUGUGCAUCCAAAUCGUGGGUUGCUAUCCUCCUGUCCACAACCAAUCUGAGGAUUCCAGAAGGACUCAUGGAUUGCGGGGUCCCACGACAUCACCUCAUCGAUGCAGUCGAUGGUUUGUUCCCGAUUCAGGCUCGUUUCCGGGAAGAAACCCUGACGGAAAUUCCGAGGAACGGGAGCCGCAUUCCGUUAGGACGUGAAUACAUGAAAUGCUCCUCUCACGACCUUCUAGAAGAAUGAGCUGGGACCCAGUUUCUGCGUCCUGCUGGAACCAGAGACGGA